GCCGGGCAUGGUGGCGUGUGCCUGUAGUCCCAGCUACUCAGGAGGCUGAGGCAGAAGAAUUGCUUGAACCCAGGAGGCGGAGGUUGCAGUGAGUCAAGAUCAAGCCACUGUACUCCAGCCUGGGCGACAGAGCAAGACUCUGUCUCAA
rfam:Pan troglodytes isolate Yerkes chimp pedigree #C0471 (Clint) chromosome 4, whole genome shotgun sequence.